rnacentral:rRNA from 1 species
UACGUAGGGGGCAAGCGUUGUCCGGAAUUAUUGGGCGUAAAGAGCGUGUAGGCGGUCCGGUAAGUCAGCUGUGAAAGUCAAGGGCUCAACCCUUGAAUGCCGGUUGAUACUGUCGGGCUAGAGUCCGGAAGAGGCGAGUGGAAUUCCCGGUGUAGCGGUGAAAUGCGCAGAUAUCGGGAGGAACACCAAUGGCGAAGGCAGCUCGCUGGGACGGUACUGACGCUGAGACGCGAAAGCGUGGGGAGCAAAC